rnacentral:rRNA from 1 species
AUUGAACGCUGGCGGCAGGCUUAACACAUGCAAGUCGGGCGAGUGGCGGACGGGUGAGUAAUGUAUGGGGAACCGCCUGAUGGAGGGGGAUAACUACUGGAAACGGUAGCUAAUACCGCAUGCCAUCAGAUGAACCCAUAUGGGAUUAGCUGGUAGGUAAGGUAACGGCUGACCUAGGCGACGAGCCCUAGCUGGUCUGAGAGGAUGAUCAGCCACACUGGGACUGAGACACGGCCCAGACUCCUACGGGAGGCAGCAGUGGGGAAUAUUGCACAAUGGGAGCAAGCCUGAUACAGCCAUGCCGCGUGUAUGAAGAAGGCCUUCGGGUUGUAAAGUACUUUCAGUCGGGAGGCGUUACCGACAGAAGAAGCACCGGCUAACUCCGUGCCAGCAGCCGCGGUAAUUC